rnacentral:rRNA from 1 species
UACGAAGGGGGCUAGCGUUGCUCGGAAUCACUGGGCGUAAAGCGCACGUAGGCGGAUUGCUAAGUCAGGGGUGAAAUCCUGGAGCUCAACUCCAGAACUGCCUUUGAUACUGGCGAUCUCGAGUCCGGGAGAGGUGAGUGGAACUGCGAGUGUAGAGGUGAAAUUCGUAGAUAUUCGCAAGAACACCAGUGGCGAAGGCGGAUCUCUGGGCCGAUACUGACGCUGAGGAGCGAAAGCGUGGGGAGCGAACAGG